rnacentral:rRNA from 1 species
AUUGAACGCUGGCGGCAGGCCUAACACAUGCAAGUCGAACGGUAGCACAGAGAGCUUGCUCUCGGGUGACGAGUGGCGGACGGGUGAGUAACGUCUGGGAAACUGCCCGAUGGAGGGGGAUAACUACUGGAAACGGUAGCUAAUACCGCAUAACGUCGCAAGACCAAAGUGGGGGACCUUCGGGCCUCACACCAUCGGAUGUGCCCAGAUGGGAUUAGCUAGUAGGUGGGGUAAUGGUUCACCUAGGCGACGAUCCCUAGCUGGUCUGAGAGGAGGACCCGCCACACUGGAACGGAGACACGGUCCAGACUCCUACGGGAGGCAGCAGUGGGGAAUAUUGCACAAUGGGCGCAAGCCUGAUGCAGCCAUGCCGCGUGUAUGAAGAAGGCCUUCGGGUUGUAAAGUACUUUCAGCGGGGAGGAAGGCGGUGAAGUUAAUAACUUCACCGAUUGACGUUACCCGCAGAAGAAGCACCGGCUAACUCCGUGCCAGCAGCCGCCGUAA